UUAUAUUAUAUUAUAUUAUAUUAUAUUAUAUUAUAUUAUAUACCAUAAUAUCAUAGGUUAUACUGGAACAACUAGAUUAGUAGAUAUACAUUAGAACGGCAUUACCGAACUAACUUAUAUCAUUGACUGAGGACAUUGUCAGCAAUUGCAACUUGUAAAAAUUUGUCAUCCUGUAACAACAAUCUUGUAUCAGAGUUACUCGAUUUUAAACACAAAAAGUUCUAAAUUUACACUAAUGCCUCUGAACAUGCACCUUACUCCUUAGGCUUAGAACGUACGUUUAACAAUUACUUGUAAAAAGUACAGUACAGUACAACACAUCUCAUCAGUUUCAUUCACUCUUCGAGUAUUACUCAUGGAAUUAGACAACCAGCUGCUAUCAAGGCCUGCCCUGCUGGUGUCAUUGCAAAAGAAGCCAGUCCACCCGCACCAAGAGAUUGAAGAAAGGCCACAAGACUCCAAGAUGAAACACCACCUCCACUGAAAAUUGCCGUCCAUGACAUCAUUUUGGCUGCAAGUGUGCCUGCUCCAAUACCAGCCGGGCCAAAGCCAACUGCUGUUGCGGCAGCUGGGACCCCAAAUACAACUCCAGCAGCUAUGGCACACGUGGGUGAUAUUCUAAAUGCGAAAUGGUGAU